rnacentral:rRNA from 1 species
CCGAAAGGCAGGAGUGCCUGCAAGGGAGCGCGGAGACAGGUGGUGCAUGGCUGUCGUCAGCUCGUGUCGUGAGAUGUUGGGUUAAGUCCCGCAACGAGCGCAACCCUCACCUCUUGUUGCCAUCAGGUCAUGCUGGGCACUCUAGAGGAACUGCCCCGGUCAACGGGGAGGAAGGCGGGGAUGACGUCAAGUCAUCAUGCCCCUUACGUCCUGGGCUACACACGUGCUACAAUGGCCGGUACAAAGGGAUGCCACACCGCGAGGUAGAGCUAAACCCAGAAAGCCGGUCUAAGUUCGGAUUGGAGUCUGCAACUCGACUCCAUGAAGGAGGAAUCGCCAGUAAUCGCGUAUCAGCACGACGCGGUGAAUACGUUCCCGGGCCUUGUACACACCGCCCGUCACACCACGAAAGCCAGCUGUACUCGAAGUCGCUGAG